GACGAACGCUGGCGGCGUGCCUAAUACAUGCAAGUCGAACGCUGAAGAGAGGAGCUUCCUCUUCUUGGAUGAGUUGCGAACGGGUGAGUAACGCGUAGGUAACCUGCCUUGUAGCGGGGGAUAUCUAUUGGAAACGAUAGCUAAUACCGCAUAACAAUGGAUGACACAUGUCAUUUAUUUGAAAGGGGCAAUUGCUCCACUACAAGAUGGACCUGCGUUGUAUUAGCUAGUAGGUGAGGUAAUGGCUCACCUAGGCGACGAUACAUAGCCGACCUGAGAGGGUGAUCGGCCACACUGGGACUGAGACACGGCCCAGACUCCUACGGGAGGCAGCAGUAGGGAAUCUUCGGCAAUGGGGGCAACCCUGACCGAGCAACGCCGCGUGAGUGAAGAAGGUUUUCGGAUCGUAAAGCUCUGUUGUAAGUCAAGAACGGGUGUGAGAGUGGAAAGUUCACACUGUGACGGUAGCUUACCAGAAAGGGACGGCUAACUACGUG
rnacentral:rRNA from 1 species